AAGGUCUUAAGUUAAGCUAAACUAGUAGCCUUCAAAGCUAAAAAUAAAGUAUGUUUUAGGCUUUA
rnacentral:tRNA from 1 species